UCCGUAGGUGAACCUGCGGAAGGAUCAUUACCGAGUGCGGGUCUUUAUGGCCCAACCUCCCACCCGUGACUAUUGUACCUUGUUGCUUCGGCGGGCCCGCCAGCGUUGCUGGCCGCCGGGGGGCGACUCGCCCCCGGGCCCGUGCCCGCCGGAGACCCCAACAUGAACCCUGUUCUGAAAGCUUGCAGUCUGAGUGUGAUUCUUUGCAAUCAGUUAAAACUUUCAACAAUGGAUCUCUUGGUUCCGGCAUCGAUGAAGAACGCAGCGAAAUGCGAUAACUAAUGUGAAUUGCAGAAUUCAGUGAAUCAUCGAGUCUUUGAACGCACAUUGCGCCCCCUGGUAUUCCGGGGGGCAUGCCUGUCCGAGCGUCAUUGCUGCCCUCAAGCCCGGCUUGUGUGUUGGGCCCUCGUCCCCCGGCUCCCGGGGGACGGGCCCGAAAGGCAGCGGCGGCACCGCGUCCGGUCCUCGAGCGUAUGGGGCUUCGUCUUCCGCUCCGUAGGCCCGGCCGGCGCCCGCCGACGCAUUUAUUUGCAACUUGUUUUUUUCCAGGUUGACCUCGGAUCAGGUAGGGAUACCCGCUGAACUUAAGCAUAUCAAUAAGCGGAGGA
rnacentral:rRNA from 1 species